CAGCAGCCACGGGAAUACGUAGGGUGCGAGCGUUAAUCGGAAUUACUGGGCGUAAAGCGUGCGCAGGCGGUUAUAUAAGACAGAUGUGAAAUCCCCGGGCUCAACCUGGGACCUGCAUUUGUGACUGUAUAGCUAGAGUACGGUAGAGGGGGAUGGAAUUCCGCGUGUAGCAGCGAAAUGCGUAGAUAUGCGGAGGAACACCGAUGGCGAAGGCAAUCCCCUGGACCUGUACUGACACUCAUGCACGAAAGCGUGGGGAGCAAACAGGAUUAGAUACCCCAGUAGUCCCUGUCUCUUAUAC
rnacentral:rRNA from 1 species